rnacentral:lncRNA from 1 species
GAAAAAAUCCUGUUGUAACUUCUCACUCUAGAAGAAACAUUUAACUAAGGCACUUAGUUAAGGCACUUAUACACAACUAGAUCUUUUAUUCUGUGAAGAUAUGUCAUGACAUACAUUACGGCUCGCAAGAAGUAUGAAGUCACUCCCAAUACACCAGGGAAGAUGCAGACUGAAAAGUAUGUGAAUGACUGCAAACAUUCCUGAGUGUGAAUACAAACUAUUGAUUCAAGCCUGUGUAUCAUAUAUAAAAUAUACAUUAACAAAUAGAGAUGAUGAAAGGAAUUUGCAGAAAUGACAGGCUGUGGUGUUAUGUAUUCUAAAACUUACCCGCAAUUUCUAAGAUAAAAUCUUAUGGAACUUAUCUAAGAAACUAUCAUCAUCUGCAACAGUUUUAACUAUAUUACAUUAUCUUCUUAAAGCAUGUCUGAAAACCCUGGAACAAUAUGAGGUCUUUUUAUUUGGUGUAUCAGAGAAAAGGAGAUACAGCAGAACAUUGCUACUACUGCUUAAGAAUACUGGAGCCUUUGGUUACAUAUAAAAUCACUAACUUUGUCUGGGACUCCAGCUGUGAACCCUUUGGGAGACUCUGAGAAAUGAAUGUCCACAGGUGAGUGCUCCACCACAGUCUAUAUCCUGACUUUUUGGAAUAAAUAGGAUUUCUUCAUCA